AUUUAAAUGUCCAGGUGUAGGUGGGUGUGGUGGAAUUAGGAGGAAGAGCGCUUCGCCCCCAUCAAUUCUGCAGUUGUCGUGGCAGCUUAGCCAUGAGUGGGUCAGGUGGCAAAAGCAGAGGCCGACCCCCGCCAGCCAGUGCUGCCAGGCCCCAUCUCGCUCUCUGGUUCAGGAGAACGUCUCCAGAAGAGCGUCAGUUUGGGGCUGGAUAUUGUAAACCUUGAUCCAAGGAACAGUUUCCAGAUGGAGAAUGGGUAGAAUUUCUCCUCCUUCUCUUGAACUAGGAGUAAGUGAGCGUCGCUAGAAGCAUCCAGAUAUGAAGGCUGCAAAUCCUACCUAAACUGCAGCCCGAUCUCUGAAAGCAACUUUGCUCAAUUGCAGCCUGACUAGCUACAAAACCAGAGUCAUAUAUCUGAUGGACUCAGGAAUAAAACAGAGUCCGGAUUAAGAAGAGUAAAGACAGAUUACUGACGCUGGUAAGACCCAGGCAGUCUCAUUCUGUGCACACUAUCUGACUGUCCCAUUUGCAGGGCCAGAUGUUUUCUCUUUGUUACUAUUUUUGCAUCUGUCUAGGAAACAUUUGGGUGGCACUCAACUCACAAGACGUGAACCUUGUAGCAGAUGCUGCUUCCCCUGGGUGUACUCACUUCUACAUGCUGAAGGGGGAUGGCUGCUAUGGCUUGAGUCUCUGCCUAGAGGCUUAUUUCUAGGCCACAAGGCAAUGACAAACAGAAAGUUUAUAAAGAAAUAUCACUUUUUGUUUGUUUGUUUG